AACGAACGCUGGCGGCAUGCCUAACACAUGCAAGUCAAACGAGACCUUCGGGUCUAGUGGCGCACGGGUGCGUAACGCGUGGGAACCUGCCCUUAGGUUAGGAAUAACUCCCCGAAAGGGGUGCUAAUACCGGAUAAUGUCUUCGGCCCAAAGAUUUAUCGCCUUUGGAUGGGCCCGCGUUGGAUUAGCUCGUUGGUAGGGUAAAAGCCUACCAAGGCGACGAUCCAUAGCUGGUCUGAGAGGAUGAUCAGCGACACUGGGACUGAGACACGGCCCAGACUCCUACGGGAGGCAGCAGUGGGGAAUAUUGGACAAUGGGCGAAAGCCUGAUGCAGCAAUGCCGCGUGAGUGAUGAAGGCCUUAGGGUUGUAAAGCUCUUUUACCCGGGAUGAUAAUGACAGUACCGGGAGAAUAAGCUCCGGCUAACUCCGUG
rnacentral:rRNA from 1 species